rnacentral:snRNA from 1 species
GGAUGUGAGGGCCAUCUGGCUGUGACAUAUGUCACCCCAUUGAUCUCCAGGGUUGAUUCAGCUGAUGUGGCUGGCUAGGUGGGUGUCCCCUUCCUCCCUCACCGCUCCAUGUGUGUCCCACCUGGAAGCUGCGCUUAAAGAGGCUGGGCUAGAAGCUGUGCUAGAAACAGCUGGUUGAAAUAGCCAGGAAAAUAGGUAGAAAAGAUAUUUAUCUCUCAGAAGCAAGAUCUCUACCAUCACUCACUAACUGCUGGCAGAAACUAAUUCAUUCCCUUACAGAAAACACACAAAGACAAAAUUAUAUCU